CCUACGGGAGGCAGCAGUGAGGAAUAUUGGUCAAUGGGAGAGAUCCUGAACCAGCCAAGCCGCGUGAGGGAAGACGGCCCUAUGGGUUGUAAACCUCUUUUGUCGGAGAACAAAACCCGGGACGAGUCCCGGACUGCGUGUAUCCGAAGCAAAAGCAUCGGCUAACUCCGUGCCAGCAGCCGCGGUAAUACGGAGGAUGCGAGCGUUAACCGGAUUUAUUGGGUUAAAAGGGUGCGUGGGAGGUCUGUUAAGGCAGCGGUAAAAGUGCGGGGCUAAACCCCGCCGAGCCGUUGAAACUGGCAGACUUGAGUUGGCGAGAAGUACGCGGAAUGCGCGGUGUAGCGGUGAAAUGCAUAGAUAUCGCGCAGAACUCCGAUUGCGAAGGCAGCGUACCGGCGCCAGACUGACGCUGAGGCACGAAAGCGUGGGGAUCGAACAGGAUUAGAUACCCUUGUAGUC
rnacentral:rRNA from 1 species